CACGAACGCUGGCGGCGUGCCUAAUACAUGCAAGUAGAACGCACAGUUUAUACCGUAGCUUGCUACACCAUAAACUGUGAGUUGCGAACGGGUGAGUAACGCGUAGGUAACCUGCCUGGUAGCGGGGGAUAACUAUUGGAAACGAUAGCUAAUACCGCAUAAUAUUAAUUAUUGCAUGAUAAUUGAUUGAAAGAUGCAAUUGCAUCACUACCAGAUGGACCUGCGUUGUAUUAGCUAGUAGGUGAGGUAACGGCUCACCUAGGCGACGAUACAUAGCCGACCUGAGAGGGUGCUCGGCCCCACUGGGACUGAGACACGGCCCAGACUCCUACGGGAGGCAGCAGUAGGGAAUCUUCGGCAAUGGACGAAAGUCUGACCGAGCAACGCCGCGUGAGUGAAGAAGGUUUUCGGAUCGUAAAGCUCUGUUGUAAGAGAAGAACGGGUGUGAGAGUGGAAAGUUCACACUGUGACGGUAUCUUACCAGAAAGGGACGGCUAACUACGUG
rnacentral:rRNA from 1 species